rnacentral:lncRNA from 1 species
UACCCAGAAGAGUGGCUCAAGUUCACAUUCAGAAUUUAUUUGUUGAAAGAGUAUCUCCACUUUAUCACAAUCGAGCACUUCCAAUUCUUUCAGAAGUGGCCAGCUUGAACUAAACCUUCUAGAGCAAAAUCUUUUCAGUUGGUGUAAACCGGAGAGUGUGAGAGAGGUAAGGUUAGGGAAUAAGAGUAAAGGUGCUGCUUCAUCUUCAUUUUCAUUGGCAACAAUUGCCUCCACUCCACUCUCCGAUAUAUAUAGGUCCUCAAGAUGCACAAGAGCACUCGCCACAGAAACCGGAAAAAGGUUUAGCAGUUUGUUGCAUCCCCUUACUUGCAAUUUCCUUAAUUUGGAAAAUGAAUUUGCUGGAAGUUGGUCAGGCCACAAUGCUCUUAUAUUAUCUAGUCCGCGUACAGACAAGGACUCCAACCCUGGGAGUGCAACCUCUGCAAUUGAUGAUCCCUUUAGUUAAUAAUAUAUACAUAUACAUUCCUAAUAAUUAGACACAUGUAAAUAGAAAAUAAGAGGUUAAAGGAGAAUAUAUCAGUAUAACAAAGCACAAAAUUUAAACUAGAUUCAAGAAGAUCAAGAAAGAGAAAAGAAAAGAAAAAGCCUCCAGAUUUUGAAGAUACAAUGAAACUUAAAAAAAAAAAAAAAAACCUUCAAAUUUUCCUUUCGAAAUGAGCUAAUAAGAGGAUUUUUUUUUUCUUUUUUCUUUGCAUCUCUUUCAAAUUUGAUUAACUUCUAUGGAAAACGUAUUUUAACUAGUUAUGGAAAACGGAUAUUUUUUUUUUAACUUUUAUAUAAGAUACAAGUAAUACUUUAAAAAAAUUGUGAUAUCUAAAUAAUUUUUUGAAAAAUUAUUUUGAAAGAAAUAAGGUAAAUCUAUACUUUUUGUAUAAGAUGUUCAACCUUUAUAUACAAAUUUCUAAUUUUUUUUUUUAAAGUGUAUCCAAAUGGACACUAAACUAUCUAGUUUUUAAUUGUUACAACUUUGAAUUGGAUUUUAUGGUAAACUAAUUUACAAGUUAAUGCAUGGAUUCAUCUUAGAUUCCAUCUAUAAAUUUUUUUAAUUAUCUAAUAUAAGACAUUAUAUUAAUGGGUUGAAUUAAUAAUGUAAUUAUAAUUUAUUUGGCAACUUUCUUCCUUCAAAUAUAUAAAAUGAAAAUAAAUUUUAAAAAAUAAAAAAAAUGAAAAAAAUAAAAAAUAAAAAAAGAUUUUUUUUAUAGUUUUUCUAAGGUGAUUUUGUAGAGUAUUGUUAGUUUAUAGUUUUAACUUUAUUUCAUUUUACUUUUAACUUUAUUUAUUGAGGUAUGUUCUUUUUUGCAACUCUUGUUUAGAUUUUAUAGAGAAUAUAAAUUUUAAGAAAAAAAAUGAAAUUUAAAUAAAAUAAGAAUAAAGAAAGGCAAAAGGUGGAUGAAUUUUCUUAAGGCAAAAGUUUGAUAACUUGGCACUAUCAUGUAAUGGGUGAAAUUUUUAAAUACUCAACAAAGGCUAGUGAAAUUUAAAUUAAAAGCUUGACAUGUACCUUUUCGACCAAAAUCUUUGGAGUUGGUGUAAAGUUUUGAGUAUGAGAGAGGUUAGUAUAGGGAAUAUUAUUGCACAUUAGUUCAAAUAAAACAUCAACAUUUUUUUUUGUUAAAUUCUAAAUGAACACCACUAUAAAUUAAUGCGAUUUUGUAUGCUCAAUUAAAUAAACUCGUUCUUAAGGCAUCACAUGAAGUGUUUAAGUCUAAUUAAUAUUAAUUAAAAAUGAUUAUAUUAAAAAAAAUCCAAAGUAAUUUAUUUUUAUCAUAAGUCAAGUAGGAUAGUUUUAUAAAUAAUUGGUUCUAGUUUCUAGUAUUAUUGUACACAAUCGCUAUGUUUGUUGCACCUCCAAAAAAUCUACUACUUGUAAUUAAUUGUAUAUUAUUCUCCAUAUUCACAUCAGUUUAUGUAGUAUGAUUAAUUUAGCAACAAAAUAUAAGUUUACUUGAAAUCGCUUUAAAUUCCUAUGAUAUUAAAGUUUAAGAUUAAAACAAUGUAACAUUAGCCAAAAAGAUUAAGAUCUAUAAUGUAACAUAUAAAAUUUAGAAAAUUCAAGGAAGGGUAAACUCGCACCUGUUCUACCCAGAAGAGUGGCUCAAGUUCACAUUCAGAAUUUAUUUGUUGAAAGAGUAUCUCCACUUUAUCACAAUCGAGCACUUCCAAUUCUUUCAGAAGUGGCCAGCUUGAACUAAACCUUCUAGAGCAAAAUCUUUUGAGUUGGUGUAAACCGGAGAGUGUGAGAGAGGUAAGGUUAGGGAAUGAGAGUAAAGGUGCUGCUUCAUCUUCAUUUUCAUUGGCAACAAUUGCCUCCACUCCACUCUCCGAUAUAUAAAGGUCCUCAAGUUGCACAAGAGCACUCGCCACAGAAACCGGAAAAAGGUUUAGCAAUUUGUUGCAUCCCCUUCCUUGCAAUUUCCUUAAUUUGGAAAAUGAAUUUGCUGGAAGUUGGUCAGGCCACAAUGCUCUUAUAUUAUCUAGUCCACGUACAGACAAGGACUCCAAGCCUGGGAGUGCAACCUGUGCAAUUGAUGAUCCCUUUAGUUAAUAAUAUAUACAUAUACAUUCCUAAUAAUUAGACACAUGUAAAUAGAAAAUAAGAGGUUAAAGGAGAAUAUAUCAGUAUAACAAAGCACAAAAUUUAAACUAGAUUCAAGAAGAUCAAGAAAGAGAAAAGAAAAGAAAAAGCCUCCAGAUUUUGAAGAUACAAUGAAACUUAAAAAAAAAAAAAAAAAAACUUCCAAAUUUUCCUUUCGAAAUGAGGUAAUAAGAGGAUUUUUUUUUUCUUUUUUCUUUGCCUCUCUUUCAAAUUUGAUUAACUUCUAUGGAAAACGUAUUUUAACUAGUUAUGGAAAACCGAUUUUUUUUUUUUUAACUUUUAUAUAAGAUACAAGUAAUACUUUAAAAAAAUUGUGAUAUCUAAAUAAUUUUUUGAAAAAUUAUUUUUAAAGAAAUAAGGUAAAUCUAUACUUUUUGUACAAGAUGUUCUACCUUUAUAUACAAAUUUCUGAUUUUUUUUUUAAAAGUGUAUCCAAAUGGACACUAAACUAUCUAGUUUUUAAUUGUUACAACUUUGAAUUGGAUUUUAUGGUAAACUAAUUUACAAGUUAAUGCAUGGAUUCAUCUUAGAUUCCAUCUAUAAAUUUUUUUAAUUAUCUAAUAUAAGACAUUAUAUUAAUGAGUUGAAUUAAUAAUGUAAUUAUAAUUUAUUUGGCAACUUUCUUCCUUCAAAUAUAUAAAAUGAAAAUAAAGUUUAAAAAAUAAAAAAAAUGAAAAAAAUAAAAAAUAAAAAAUGAUUUUUUUUAUAGUUUUUCUAAGAUGAUUUUGUAGAGUACUGUUAGUUUAUAGUUUUAACUUUAUUUCAUUUUACUUUUAACUUUAUUUAUUGAGGUAUGUUCUUUUUUGAAACUCUUGUUUAGAUUUUAUAGAGAAUAUAAAUUUUAAGAAAAAAAAUGAAAUUUAAAUAAAAUAAGAAUAAAGAAAGGCAAAAGGUGGAUGAAUUUUUUUAAGGCAAAAGUUUGAUAACUUGGCACUAUCAUGUAAUGGGUGAAAUUUUUAAAUACUCAACAAAGGCUAGUGAAAUUUAAAUUAAAAGCUUGACAUGUACCUUUUCGACCAAAAUCUUUGGAGUUGGUGUAAAGUUUUGAGUAUGAGAGAGGUUAGUCUAGGGAAUAUUAUUGCACAUUAGUUCAAAUAAAACAUCAACAUUUUUUUUUUGUUAAAUUCUAAAUGAACACCGCUAUAAAUUAAUGCGAUUUUGUAUGCUCAAUUAAAUAAACUUGUUCUUAAGGCAUCACAUGAAGUGUUUAAGUCUAAUUAAUAUUAAUUAAAAAUGAUUAUAUUAAAAAAAAUCCAAAGUAAUUUAUUUUUAUCAUAAGUCAAGUAGGAUAGUUUUAUAAAUAAUUGGUUCUAGUUUCUAGUACUAUUGUACACAAUCGCUAUGUUUGUUGCACCUCCAAAAAAUCUACUACUUGUAAUUAAUUGUAUAUUAUUCUCCAUAUUCACAUCAGUUUAUGUAGUAUGAUUAAUUUAGCAACAAAAUAUAAGUUUACUUGAAAUCGCUUUAAAUUCCUAUGAUAUUAAAGUUUAAGAUUAAAACAAUGUAACAUUAGCCAAAAAGAUUAAGAUCUAUAAUGUAACAUAUAAUAUUUAGAAAAUUCAAGGAAGGGUAAACUCGCACCUGUUCUACCCAGAAGAGUGGCUCAAGUUCACAUUCAUAAUUUAUUUGUUGAAAGAGUAUCUCCACUUUAUCACAAUCGAGCACUUCCAAUUCUUUCAGAAGUGGCCAGCUUGAACUAAACCUUCUAGAGAAAAAUCUUUUGAGUUGGUGUAAACCGGAGAGUGUAAGAGAGGUAAGGUUAGGGAAUAAGAGUAAAAGUGCUGCUUCAUCUUCAUUUUCAUUGGCAACAAUUGCCUCCACUCCACUUUCCGAUAUAUAUAGGUCCUCAAGUUGCACAAGAGCACUCGCCACAGAAACCGGAAAAAGGUUUAGCAAUUUGUUGCAUCCCCUUACUUGCAAUUUCCUUAAUUUGGAAAAUGAAUUUGCUGGAAGUUGGUCAGACCACAAUGCUCUUAUAUUAUCUAGUCCGCGUACAGACAAGGACUCCAAACCUGGGAGUGCAACCUGUGCAAUUGAUGAUCCCUUUAGUUAAUAAUAUAUACAUAUACAUUCCUAAUAAUUAGACACAUGUAAAUAGAAAAUAAGAGGUUAAAGGAGAAUAUAUCAGUAUAACAAAGCACAAAAUUUAAACUAGAUUCAAGAAGAUCAAGAAAGAGAAAAGAAAAGAAAAAGCCUCCAGAUUUUGAAGAUACAAUGAAACUUAACAAAAAAAAAAAAAAACCACCAAAUUUUCCUUUCGAAAUGAGGUAAUAAGAGGAUUUUUUUUUUUUCUUUUUUCUUUGCCUCUCUUUCAAAUUUGAUUAACUUCUAUGGAAAACGUAUUUUAACUAGUUAUGGAAAACAUAUUUUUUUUUUAAAAAACUUUUCUAUAAGAUACAAGUAAUACUUUAAAAAAAUUGUGAUAUCUAAAAAAUUUUUUGAAAAAUUAUUUUUAAAGAAAUAAGGUAAAUCUAUACUUUUUGUAUAAGAUGUUCUACCUUUAUAUACAAAUUUCUGAUUUUUUUUUUAAAAGUGUAUCCAAAUGGACACUAAACUAUCUAGUUUUUAAUUGUUACAACUUUGAAUUGGAUUUUAUGGUAAACUAAUUUACAAGUUAAUGCAUGGAUUCAUCUUAGAUUCCAUCUAUAAAUUUUUUUAAUUAUCUAAUAUAAGACAUUAUAUUAAUGGGUUGAAUUAAUAAUGUAAUUAUAAUUUAUUUGGCAAGUUUCUUCCUUCAAAUAUAUAAAAUGAAAAUAAAUUUUAAAAAAUAAAAAAAAUGAAAAAAAUAAAAAAUAAAAAAAGAUUUUUUUUAUAGUUUUUCUAAGAUGAUUUUGUAGAGUACUGUUAGUUUAUAGUUUUAACUUUAUUUCAUUUUACUUUUAACUUUAUUUAUUGAGGUAUGUUCUUUUUUGAAACUCUUGUUUAGAUUUUAUAGAGGAUAUAAAUUUUCAGAAAAAAAAAAUUAAAUUUAAAUAAAAUAGGAAUAAAGAAAGGCAAAAGGUGGAUGAAUUUUUUUAAGGCAAAAGUUUGAUAACUUGGCACUAUCAUGUAAUGGGUGAAAUUUUUAAAUACUCAACAAAGGCUAGUGAAAUUUAAAUUAAAAGCUUGACAUGUACCUUUUCGACCAAAAUCUUUGGAGUUGGUGUAAAGUUUUGAGUAUGAGAGAGGUUAGUCUAGGGAAUAUUAUUGCACAUUAGUUCAAAUAAAACAUCAACAUUUUUUUUUUUGUUAAAUUCUAAAUGAACACCACUAUAAAUUAAUGCGAUUUGUAUGCUCAAUUAAAUAAACUCGUUCUUAAGGCAUCACAUGAAGUGUUUAAGUCUAAUUAAUAUUAAUUAAAAAUGAUUAUUUUAAAAAAAUCCAAAGUAAUUUAUUUUUAUCAUAAGUCAAGUAGGAUAGUUUUAUAAAUAAUUGGUUCUAGUUUCUAGUAUUAUUGUACACAAUCGCUAUGUUUGUUGCACCUCCAAAAAAUCUACUACUUGUAAUUAAUUGUAUAUUAUUCUCCAUAUUCACAUCAGUUUAUGUAGUAUGAUUAAUUUAGCAACAAAAUAUAAGUUUACUUGAAAUCGCUUUAAAUUCCUAUGAUAUUAAAGUUUAAGAUUAAAACAAUGUAACAUUAGCCAAAAAGACUAAGAUCUAUAAUGUAACAUAUAAAAUUUAGAAAAUUCAAGGAAGGGUAAACUCGCACCUGUUCUACCCAGAAGAGUGGCUCAAGUUCACAUUCAGAAUUUAUUUGUUGAAAGAGUAUCUCCACUUUAUCACAAUCGAGCACUUCCAAUUCUUUCAGAAGUGGCCAGCUUGAACUAAACCUUCUAGAGCAAAAUCUUUUGAGUUGGUGUAAACCGGAGAGUGUGAGAGAGGUAAGGUUAGGGAAUGAGAGUAAAGGUGCUGCUUCAUCUUCAUUUUCAUUGGCAACAAUUGCCUCCACUCCACUCUCCGAUAUAUAAAGGUCCUCAAGUUGCACAAGAGCACUCGCCACAGAAACCGGAAAAAGGUUUAGCAAUUUGUUGCAUCCCCUUACUUGCAAUUUCCUUAAUUUGGAAAAUGAAUUUGCUGGAAGUUGGUCAGGCCACAAUGCUCUUAUAUUAUCUAGUCCGCGUACAGACAAGGACUCCAAACCUGGGAGUGCAACCUGUGCAAUUGAUGAUCCCUUUAGUUAAUAAUAUAUACAUAUACAUUCCUAAUAAUUAGACACAUGUAAAUAGAAAAUAAGAGGUUAAAGGAGAAUAUAUCAGUAUAACAAAGCACAAAAUUUAAACUCUAUUCAAGAAGAUCCAGAAAGAGAAAAGAAAACGCCUUUUGAUUUUGAAGAUCCAAUGAAACUUUAAAAAAAAAAAAAAAAACCUCCAAAUUUUGCUUUCCAAAUGAGGUAAUAGGAGGAUAUUUUUAUUUUAUUUUUUCUUUGCCUCUCUUUCAAAUUUGAUUAACUUCCAUGGAAAACGUAUUUUAACUAGCCAUGGAAAAUGGAUUUUUUUUUUAAAACUUUUAUAUAAGAUACAAGAACUCUUAGAGGGUUACAUUAUGUAAGUAAUACUUUAAAAAAAAUGUUUAAAAAUAUUGUGAUAUCCAAAAAUUUUACUACCUCGGAUUUUAAAUUUUAAAAAAAUUAUUUUUAAAGAAAUAAGGUAAAUCUAUACUUUUUCGUAUAAGAUAUUCUACCUUUAUAUACAAAUUUCUGAUUUUUUUUUUAAAGUGUAUCCAAAUGGACACUAAACUAUCUAGUUUCGAAUUUUUACAACUUUGAAUUGGAUUUUAUGGUAAACUAAUUGACAAUAUAACGCAUGGAUUCAUCUUAGAUUCCAUCUAUAAAUUUUUUAAUUAUCUAAUAUAAGACAUUAUAUUAAUGGGUUGAAUUAAUAAUGUAAUUAUAAUUUAUUUGGCAACUUUCUUCCUUCAAAUAUAUAAGACGAAAAUAUAUUUUAAAAAAUAAAAAAGAAUGAUAAAAAAUAGAAAAUAAAAAUAGCUUAUUUUAUUGUUUUUCUAAGAUGAUUUUGUAGAGUGUUAGUUUAUAGUUUAACUUUAUUUCAUUUUACUUUUAACAUUAUUUAUUGAGGUAUGUUCUUUUUUGAAACUCUUGUUUAGAUUUUAUAGAGAAUAUAAAUUUUAAGAAAAAAAAUGAAAUUUAAAUAAAAUAAGAAUAAAGAAAGGCAAAAGGUGGAUGAAUUUUUUGAAGGCAAAAGUUUGAUAAUUUGGCACUGUCAUGUAAUGGGUGAAAUUUUUAAAUACUCAACAAAGGCUAGUGAAAUUUAAAUUAAAACCUUGACAUGUACCUUUUCGACCAAAAUCUUUGGAGUUGGUGUAAAGUUUUGAGUAUGAGAGAGGUUAGUCUAGGGAAUAUUAUUGCACAUUAGUUCAAAUAAAACAUCAACAUUUUUUUUUGUUAAAUUCUAAAUGAACACCACUAUAAAUUAAUGCGAUUUUGUAUGCUCAAUUAAAUAAACUCGUUCUUAAGGCAUCACAUGAAGUGUUUAAGUCUAAUUAAUAUUAAUUAAAAAUGAUUAUAUCAAAAAAAAUCCAAAGUAAUUUUUUUUUAUCAUAAGUCAAGUAGGAUAGUUUUAUAAAUAAUUGGUUCUAGUUUCUAGUAUUAUUGUACACAAUCGCUAUGUUUGUUGCACCUCCAAAAAAUCUACUACUUGUAAUUAAUUGUAUAUUAUUCUCCAUAUUCACAUCAGUUUAUGUAGUAUGAUUAAUUUAGCAACAAAAUAUAAGUUUACUUGAAAUCGCUUUAAAUUCCUAUGAUAUUAAAGUUUAAGAUUAAAACAAUGUAACAUUAGCCAAAAAGACUAAGAUCUAUAAUGUAACAAAUAAAAUUUAGAAAAUUCAAGGCAGGGUAAACUCGCACCUGUUCUACCCAGAAGAGUGGCUCAAGUUCACAUUCAGAAUUUAUUUGUUGAAAGAGUAUCUCCACUUUAUCACAAUCGAGCACUUCCAAUUCUUUCAGAAGUAGCCAGCUUGAACUAAACCUUCUAGAGCAAAAUCUUUUGAGUUGGUGUAAACCGGAGAGUGUGAGAGAGGUAAGGUUAGGGAAUAAGAGUAAAGGUGCUGCUUCAUCUUCAUUUUCAUUGGCAACAAUUGCCUCCACUCCACUCUCCGAUAUAUAUAGGUCCUCAAGUUGCACAAGAGCACUCGCCACAGAAACCCGAAAAAGGUUUAGCAAUUUGUUGAAUCCCCUUACAUGCAAUUUCCUUAAUUUGGAAAAUGAAUUUGUUGGAAGUUGGUCAGGCCACAAUGCUCUUAUAUUAUCCAGUCCGCAUACAUACAAGGACUCCAAGCCUUGGAGUGCAACCUGUGCAAUUGAUAAUCCCUUUGGUUAAUAAUAUAUACAUAUACAUUCCUAAUGAUUAGACACAUGUAAAUAGAAAAUAAGAGGUUAAAGGAGAAUAUAUCAGUAUAACAAAGCACAAAAUUUAAACUAGAUUAAAGAAGAUCAAGAAAGAGAAAAGAAAAGAAAAAGCCUCCAGAUUUUGAAGAUACAAUGAAACUUAAAAAAAAAAAAAAAAAACCUCCAAAUUUUCCUUUCGAAAUGAGGUAAUAAGAGGAUUUUUUUUUUCUUUUUUCUUUGCCUCUCUUUCAAAUUUGAUUAACUUCUAUGGAAAACGUAUUUUAACUAGUUAUGGAAAACGGAUUUUUUUUUUUAAAAACUUUUAUAUAAGAUACAAGUAAUACUUUAAAAAAAUUGUGAUAUCUAAAAAAUUUUUUGAAAAAUUAUUUUUAAAGAAAUAAGGUAAAUCUAUACUUUUUGUAUAAGAUGUUCUACCUUUGUAUUCAAAUUUCUGAUUUUUUUUUUUUAAAGUGUAUCCAAAUGCACACUAAACUAUCUAGUUUUUAAUUGUUACAACUUUGAAUUGGAUUUUAUGGUAAACUAAUUUACAAGUUAAUGCAUAGAUUCAUCUUAGAUUCCAUCUAUAAAUUUUUUUAAUUAUCUAAUAUAAGACAGUAUAUUAAUGGGUUGAAUUAAUAAUGUAAUUAUAAUUUAUUUGGCAACUUUCUUCCUUCAAAUAUAUAAAAUGAAAAUAAAUUUUAAAAAAUAAAAAAUAAAAAAAAGAUUUUUUUUAUAGUUUUUCUAAGAUGAUUUUGUAGAGUUCUGUUAGUUUAUAGUUUUCACUUUAUUUAUUGAGGUAUGUUCUUUUUUGAAACUCUUGUUUAGAUUUUAUUGAGAAUAUAAAUUUUAAGAAAAAAAAUAAAAUUUAAAUAAAAUAAGAAUAAAGAAAGGCAAAAGCUGGAUGAAUUUUUUUAAGGCAAAAGUUUGAUAAUUUGGCACUCUCAUGUAAUGGGUGAAAUUUUUAAAUACUCAACAAAGGCUAGUGAAAUUUAAAUUAAAACCAUGACAUGUACCUUUUAGACCAAAAUCUUUGGAGUUGGUGUAAUGUUUUGAGUAUGAGAGAGGUUAGUCUAGGGAAUAUUAUUGCACAUUAGUUCAAAUAAAACAUCAACAUUUUUUUUUGUUAAAUUCUAAAUGAACACCACUAUAAAUUAAUGCGAUUUUGUAUGCUCAAUUAAAUAAACUCGUUCUUAAGGCAUCACAUGAAGUGUUUAAGUCUAAUUAAUAUUAAUUAAAAAUGAUUAUAGUAAAAAAAAUCCAAAGUAAUUUUUUUUUAUCAUAAGUCAAGUAGGAUAGUUUUAUAAAUAAUUGGUUCUAGUUUCUAGUAUUAUUGUAGACAAUCGCUAUGUUUGUUGCACCUCCAAAAAAUCUACUACUUGUAAUUAAUUGUAUAUUAUUCUCCAUAUUCACAUCAGUUUAUGUAGUAUGAUUAAUUUAGCAACAAAAUAUAAGUUUACUUGAAAUGGCUUUAAAUUCCUAUGAUAUUAAAGUUUAAGAUUAAAACAAUGUAACAUUAGCAAAAAAGAUUAAGAUCUAUAAUGUAACAAAUAAAAUUUAGAAAAUUCAAGGCAGGGUAAACUCGCACCUGUUCUACCCAGAAGAGUGGCUCAAGUUCACAUUCAGAAUUUAUUUGUUGAAAGAGUAUCUCCACUUUAUCACAAUCGAGCACUUCCAAUUCUUUCAGAAGUAGCCAGCUUGAACUAAACCUUCUAGAGCAAAAUCUUUUGAGUUGGUGUAAACCGGAGAGUGUGAGAGAGGUAAGGUUAGGGAAUAAGAGUAAAGGUGCUGCUUCAUCUUCAUUUUCAUUGGCAACAAUUGCCUCCACUCCACUCUCUGAUAUAUAUAGGUCCUCAAGUUGCACAAGAGCACUCGCCACAGAAACCCGAAAAAGGUUUAGCAAUUUGUUGAAUCCCCUUACAUGCAAUUUCCUUAAUUUGGAAAAUGAAUUUGUUGGAAGUUGGUCAGGCCACAAUGCUCUUAUAUUAUCCAGUCCGCAUACAUACAAGGACUCCAAGCCUGGGAGUGCAACCUGUGCAAUUGAUAAUCCCUUUGGUUAAUAAUAUAUACAUAUACAUUCCUAAUAAUUAGACACAUGUAAAUAGAAAAUAAGAGGUUAAAGGAGAAUAUAUCAGUAUAACAAAGCACAAAAUUUAAACUAGAUUAAAGAAGAUCAAGAAAGAGAAAAGAAAAGAAAAAGCCUCCAGAUUUUGAAGAUACAAUGAAACUUAAAAAAAAAAAAAAAAAACCUCCAAAUUUUCCUUUCGAAAUGAGGUAAUAAGAGGAUUUUUUUUUUAUUUUUUCUUUGCCUCUCUUUCAAAUUUGAUUAACUUCUAUGGAAAACGCAUUUUAACUAGUUAUGGAAAACGGAUUUUUUUUUUUUAAAACUUUUAUAUAAGAUACAAGUAAUACUUUAAAAAAAUUGUGAUAUCUAAAAAAUUUUUUGAAAAAUUAUUUUUAAAGAAAUAAGGUAAAUCUAUACUUUUUGUAUAAGAUGUUCUACCUUUGUAUUCAAAUUUCUGAUUUUUUUUUUUAAAGUGUAUCCAAAUGCACAAUAAACUACCUAGUUUUUAAUUGUUACAACUUUGAAUUGGAUUUUAUGGUAAACUAAUUUACAAGUUAAUGCAUGGAUUCAUCUUAGAUUCCAUCUAUAAAUUUUUUUAAUUAUCUAAUAUAAGACAUUAUAUUAAUGGGUUGAAUUAAUAAUGUAAUUAUAAUUUAUUUGGCAACUUUCUUCCUUCAAAUAUAUAAAAUGAAAAUAAAUUUUAAAAAAUAAAAAAAAUGAAAAAAUAAAAAAUAAAAAAAAGAUUUUUUUUAUAGUUUUUCUAAGAUGAUUUUGUAGAGUACUGUUAGUUUAUAGUUUUCACUUUAUUUAUUGAGGUAUGUUCUUUUUUGAAACUCUUGUUUAGAUUUUAUUGAGAAUAUAAAUUUUAAGAAAAAAAAUGAAAUUUAAAUAAAAUAAGAAUAAAGAAAGGCAAAAGGUGGAUGAAUUUUUUUACGGCAAAAGUUUGAUAAUUUGGCACUAUCAUGUAAUGGGUGAAAUUUUUAAAUACUCAACAAAGGCUAGUGAAAUUUAAAUUAAAACCUUGACAUGUACCUUUUAGACCAAAAUCUUUGGAGUUGGUGUAAAGUUUUGAGUAUGAGAGAGGUUAGUCUAGGGAAUAUUAUUGCACAUUAGUUCAAAUAAAACAUCAACAUUUUUUUUUGUUAAAUUCUAAAUGAACACCACUAUAAAUUAAUGCGAUUUUGUAUGCUCAAUUAAAUAAACUCGUUCUUAAGGCAUCACAUGAAGUAUUUAAGUCUAAUUAAUAUUAAUUAAAAAUGAUUAUAGUAAAAAAAAUCCAAAGUAAUUUUUUUUUAUCAUAAGUCAAGUAGGAUAGUUUUAUAAAUAAUUGGUUCUAGUUUCUAGUAUUAUUGUAGACAAUCGCUAUGUUUGUUGCACCUCCAAAAAAUCUACUACUUGUAAUUAAUUGUAUAUUAUUCUCCAUAUUCACAUCAGUUUAUGUAGUAUGAUUAAUUUAGCAACAAAAUAUAAGUUUACUUGAAAUGGCUUUAAAUUCCUAUGAUAUUAAAGUUUAAGAUUAAAACAAUGUAACAUUAGCCAAAAAGAUUAAGAUCUAUAAUGUAACAUAUAAAAUUUAGAAAAUUCAAGGAAGGGUAAACUCGCACCUGUUCUACCCAGAAGAGUGGCUCAAGUUCACAUUCAGAAUUUAUUUGUUGAAAGAGUAUCUCCACUUUAUCACAAUAGAGCACUUCCAAUUCUUUCAGAAGUGGCCAGCUUGAACUAAACCUUCUAGAGCAAAAUCUUUUGAGUUGGUGUAAACCGGAGAGUGUGAGAGAGGUAAGGUUAGGGAAUAAGAGUAAAGGUGCUGCCUCAUCUUCAUUUUCAUUGGCAACAAUUGCCUCCACUCCACUCUGAAAUAUAUUUAGGUUCUCAAGUUGCACAAGAGCACUCGCCACAGAAACCGGAAAAAGGUUUAGCAAUUUGUUGCAUCCCCUUACUUGCAAUUCCCUUAAUUUGGAAAAUGAAUUUGCUGGAAGUUGGUCAGGCCACAAUGCUCUUAUAUUAUCUAGUCCGCAUACAGAAAAGGACUCCAAGCCUGGGAGUGCAACCUGUGCAAUUGAUGAUCCCUUUAGUUAAUAAUAUAUACAUAUACAUUCCUAAUAAUUAGCACAUGUAAAUAGAAAAUAAGAGGUUAAAGGAGAAUAUAUCAGUAUAACAAAGCACAAAAUUUAAACUAGAUUCAAGAAGAUCAAGAAAGAGAAAAGAAAAGAAAAAGCCUCCAGAUUUUAAAGAUACAAUGAAACUUAAAAAAAAAAAAAAAAAACCUCCAAAUUUUCCUUUCGAAAUGAGGUAAUAAGAGGAUUUUUUUUUUUUUCUUUUUUCUUUGCCUCUCUUUCAAAUUUGAUUAACUUCUAUGGAAAACGUAUUUUAACUAGUUAUGGAAAACGGAUUUUUUUUUUAAACUUUUAUAUAAGAUACAAGUAAUACUUUUAAAAAAUUGUGAUAUCUAAAAAAGUUUUUGAAAAAUUAUUUUUAAAGAAAUAAGGUAAAUCUAUACUUUUUGUAUAAGAUCUUCUACCUUUAUAUACAAAUUUCUGAUUUUUUUUUUUAAAGUGUAUCCAAAUGGACACUAAACUAUCUAGUUUUUAAUUGUUACAACUUUGAAUUGGAUUUUAUGGUAAACUAAUUUACAAGUUAAUGCAUGGAUUCAUCUUAGAUUCCAUCUAUAAAUUUUUUUAAUUAUCUAAUAUAAGACAUUAUAUUAAUGGGUUGAAUUAAUAAUGUAAUUAUAAUUUAUUUGGCAACUUUCUUCCUUCAAAUAUAUAAAAUGAAAAUAAAUUUUAAAAAAUAAAAAAGAAUGAAAAAAAUAAAAAAUAAAAAAAGCUUUUUUUUAUAGUUUUUCUAAGAUGAUUUUGUAGAGUACUGUUAGUUUAUAGUUUUAACUUUAUUUCAUUUUACUUUUAACUUUAUUUAUUGAGGUAUGUUCUUUUUUGAAACUCUUGUUUAGAUUUUAUAGAGAAUAUAAAUUUUAAGAAAAAAAAAGGAAAUUUAAAUAAAAUAAGAAUAAAGAAAGGCAAAAGGUGGAUGAAUUUUUUUAAGGCAAAAGUUUGAUAAUUUGGCACUAUCAUGUAAUGGGUGAAAUUUUUAAAUACUCAACAAAGGCUAGUGAAAUUUAAAUUAAAAGCUUGACAUGUACCUUUUCGACCAAAAUCUUUGGAGUUGGUGUAAAGUUUUGAGUAUGAGAGAGGUUAGUCUAGGGAAUAUUAUUGCACAUUUGUUCAAAUAAAACAUCAACAUUUUUUUUUGUUAAAUUCUAAAUGAACACCACUAUAAAUUAAUGCGAUUUUGUAUGCUCAAUUAAAUAAACUCAUUCUUAAGGCAUCACAUGAAGUGUUUAAGUCUAAUUAAUAUUAAUUAAAAAUGAUUAUAUUAAAAAAAAUCCAAAGUAAUUUAUUUUUAUCAUAAGUCAAGUAGGAUAGUUUUAUAAAUAAUUGGUUCUAGUUUCUAGUAUUAUUGUACACAAUCGCUAUGUUUGUUGCACCUCCAAAAAUCUACUACUUGUAAUUAAUUGUAUAUUAUUCUCCAUAUUCACAUCAGUUUAUGUAGUAUGAUUAAUUUAGCAACAAAAUAUAAGUUUACUUGAAAUCGCUUUAAAUUCCUAUGAUAUUAAAGUUUAAGAUUAAAACAAUUUAACAUUAGCCAAAAAGAUUAAGAUCUAUAAUGUAACAUAUAAAAUUUAGAAAAUUCAAGGAAGGGUAAACUCGCACCUGUUCUACCCAGAAGAGUGGCUCAAGUUCACAUUCAGAAUUUAUUUGUUGAAAGAGUAUCUCCACUUUAUCACAAUCGAGCACUUCCAAUUCUUUCAGAAGUGGCCAACUUGAACUAAACUUUCUAGAGCAAAAUCUUUUGAGUUGGUGUAAACCGGAGAGUGUGAGAGAGGUAAGGUUAGGGAAUAAAAGUAAAAGUGCUGCUUCAUCUUCAUUUUCAUUGUGAACAAUUGCCUCCACUCCACUAUAAAAUAUAUUUAGGUUCUCAAGUUGCACAAGAGCACUCGCCACAGAAACCGGAAAAAGGUUUAGCAAUUUGUUGCAUCCCCUUACUUGCAAUUUCCUUAAUUUGGAAAAUGAAUUUGCUGGAAGUUGGUCAGGCCACAAUGCUCUUAUAUUAUCUAGUCCGCAUACAGACACGGACUCCAAGCCUGGGAGUGCAACCUGUGCAAUUGAUGAUCCCUUUAGUUAAUAAUAUAUACAUAUACAUUCCUAAUAAUUAGACACAUGUAAAUAGAAAAUAAGAGGUUAAAGGAGAAUAUAUCAGUAUAACAAAGCACAAAAUUUAAACUAGAUUGAAGAAGAUCAAGAAAGAGAAAAGAAAAGAAAAAGCCUCCAGAUUUUGAAGAUACAAUGAAACUUAAAAAAAAAAAAAAAAAACCUCCAAAUUUUCCUUUUGAAAUGAGGUAAUAAGAGGAUUUUUCUUUGCCUCUCUUUCAAAUUUGAUUAACUUCUAUGGAAAACGUAUUUUAACUAGUUAUGGAAAACGGAUUUUUUUUUUUUAAACUUUUAUAUAAGAUACAAGUAAUACUUUAAAAAAAUUGUGAUAUCUAAAAAAUUUUUUGAAAAAUUAUUUUUAAAGAAAUAAGGUAAAUCUAUACUUUUUGUAUAAGAUGUUCUACCUUUAUAUACAAAUUUCUGAUUUUUUUUUUUUAAAGUGUAUCCAAAUGGACACUAAACUAUCUAGUUUUUAAUUGUUACAACUUUGAAUUGGAUUUUAUGGUAAACUAAUUUACAAGUUAAUGCAUGGAUUCAUCUUAGAUUCCAUCUAUAAAUUUUUUUAAUUAUCUAAUAUAAGACAUUAUAUUAAUGGGUUGAAUUAAUAAUGUAAUUAUAAUUUAUUUGGCAACUUUCUUCCUUCAAAUAUAUAAAAUGAAAAUAAAUUUUAAAAAAUAAAAAAAUGAAAAAAAUAAAAAAUAAAAAAAGAUUUUUUUUUAUAGGUUUUCUAAGAUGAUUUUGUUGAGUACUGUUAGUUUAUUGUUUUAACUUUAUUUCAUUUUACUUUUAACUUUAUUUAUUGAGGUAUGUUCUUUUUUGAAACUCUUGUUUAGAUUUUAUAGAGAAUAUAAAUUUUAAGAAAACAAAUGAAAUUUAAAUAAAAUAAGAAUAAAGAAAGGCAAAAGGUGGAUGAAUUUUUUUAAGGCAAAAGUUUGAUAAUUUGGCACUAUCAUGUAAUGGGUGAAAUUUUUAAAUACUCAACAAAGGCUAGUGAAAUUUAAAUUAAAAGCUUGACAUGUACCUUUUCGACCAAAAUCUUUGGAGUUGGUGUAAAGUUUUGAGUAUGAGAGAGGUUAGUCUAGGGAAUAUUAUUGCACAUUAGUUCAAAUAAAACAUCAACAUCUUUUUUUGUUAAAUUCUAAAUGAACACCACUAUAAAUUAAUGCGAUUUUGUAUGCUCAAUUAAAUAAACUCGUUCUUAAGGCAUCACAUGAAGUGUUUAAGUCUAAUUAAUAUUAAUUAAAAAUGAUUAUAUUAAAAAAAAUCCAAAGUAAUUUUUUUUUAUCAUAAGUCAAGUAGGAUAGUUUUAUAAAUAAUUGGUUCUAGUUUCUAGUAUUAUUGUACACAAUCCCUAUGUUUGUUGCACCUCCAAAAAAUCUACUACUUGUAAUUAAUUGUAUAUUAUUCUCCAUAUUCACAUCAGUUUAUGUAGUAUGAUUAAUUUAGUAACAAAAUAUAAAUUUACUUGAAAUCGCUUUAAAUUCCUAUGAUAUUAAAGUUUAAGAUUAAAACAAUGUAACAUUAGCCAAAAAGAUUAAGAUCUAUAAUGUAACAUAUAAAAUUUAGAAAAUUCAAGGAAGGGUAAACUCGCACCUGUUCUACCCAGAAGAGUGGCUCAAGUUCACAUUCAUAAUUUAUUUGUUGAAAGAGUAUCUCCACUUUAUCACAAUAGAGCACUUCCAAUUCUUUCAAAAGUGGCCAGCUUGAACUAAACCUUCUAGAGCAAAAUCUUUUGAGUUGGUGUAAACCGGCGAGUUCGAGAGAGGUAAGGUUAGGGAAUAAGAGUAAAGGUGCUGCUUCAUCUUCAUUUUCAUUGUGAACAACUGCCUCCACUCCACUCUGCAAUAGAUUUAGGUCCUCAAGUUGCACAGGAGCACUCGCCACAGAAACCGGAAAAAGGUUUAGCAAUUUUUUGCAUCCCUUUACUUGCAAUUUCCUUAAUUUGGAAAAUGAAUUUGCUAGAAGUUGGUCAGGCCACAAUGCUCUUAUAUUAUCUAUGAUAACCACAACAUUCAAACCACCGAGAUUUCCUUGGCUUCUCACUUAUCUUUUCCACCAGAUAAGUGUUUAUCCACUUUAAGAGAUAACUCUUGACUAUUUUUAAAUUUCUGUUAUUGUGUAUUUCAAAUCUCCUUCUGUAAUUGUAUAUAAAUGAGAAUAGCCACCCGGUUUUUGGCAUUGAAGCCAAUACCAUUUUACAGAUUUCUACAGAGUCUUACAUGGUAUCAGAGCAAUUGGCAUACGCCUAAUUUCAAUCGAUCCUUUCCUUCUCAACUAUGGCCUUCUCUUCUUCCGCUUCCUCCAAUGUUAUCUUUGCUCCUCCAAACAUUGGUCAUCUGGUGUCGAUCAAGCUGAGUGACACAAACUAUCUUAUAUGGUCAUCUCAGAUUGUGCCAGUACUGAAAAGUCAUGACUUGAUGGGCUUCAUGGAUGGUUCUGAGCCGUGUCCAUCAAAAUCUCUUGAUGGUUCUCUUAAUCCAGCAUAUAUUCUCUGGAAUAAGAAAGAUCAGUGUGUGUUAAGUUGGAUCAAUGCCACUUUGUCUGACAAGGUGCUAGCUUCUGUUUAUGGCAUCACAUCUGCUCGAGAGGUGUGGAGUUCUCUGGCAAACAAGUUUGCCUCUCAAUCCAGAACCCGUGUACACCACCUAAAGCGAAAGUUGCAGACUCUUCAUCAAGGGUCAAUGAAGUGCACUGAUUUUCUUGAAAAAGCGAAGUUGGUGUCUGAUGAAUUAGCUGCAGUUGGUAAGCCACUUGAGGAUGAUGACUUAAUGUCUUAUAUUGUGAGUGGACUCAACCCAUCCUUUAAUCCCUUUAUAACCUCUCUGUCCUUUGCCACUAGAGACAAAAAUGUUUCUUUUGAAGACUUUCAAGCCGAGCUCUUGUCAUAUGAACUGUUAUUGGAAAACUAGAAUAUUGCUAUACCACCUGAGACAAAUAAUUUUGCUUUCUUCACUCCCAAAUCUAACCAACAACAGUACAAUCGCAAACCCAAAAACCCAAGUAAACCAUAUUCACGUCCUUCAUUUUCACAAAAUCCUCGUCCUCGAUAUUCACCACAACCCUCUGGUUUACCUUCCUCACCUCAGCCAAAUCAGAAGCAGCACUCAUUUUCCACUCCUAAGUCACCUUGUCAAAUCUGUGGAAAGCUAAGUCAUAAGGCAUUAGAUUGCUUUCAUAGAAUGGAUUAUGCAUAUCAGGGUCGUCAUCCACCAACCCAGUUAGCUGCUAUGGUGGCACAUAGCAAUGCUGAGCAAGAGGAAGAGACAUGGUUUGCUGACAGUGGAGCUAAUCAGCACAUUACUGCCAAUCUGGAGCAUCUUACUCUGCAACAACCAUACACAGGACAAGAAAAUGUAGCUAUUGGUAAUGGCCAAGGUUUAAGUAUUGCACAUACUGGUACUACUAUUUUUCAUACUCCUGAAGCUAAAUUAAACCUCAAACGUGUCCUCCAUUGUCCUCAAGCUUCUGCCAAUUUGCUUUCCAUAAAUCAAUUCUGUCUUGAUAAUAAUUGCCUCUUUAUUCUAACUGGUACUCAUUAUUUUGUCAAGGACAUACAAACGGGGGCGACACUACUGGAAGGCAGGAGUGAAGGGGGUCUCUAUCCAAUCCAGUUGCGGUCAAUGUCUAUCAAUAAAUCACAUGCUUUGUCAGCCGUUGUAGGAAUUAAAGCAUCAGUUUCAGUUUGGCAUUCUAGAUUAGGACAUGCAUCUCUUCCCAUUGUGUCUCAGUUAUUAAAUAAACACUCCUUACCUGUUGAAGGAUCAGUGAAUAAAAUGCAUUUUUGUGAACCUUGCCAACUUGGCAAAGGUAAGCAACUUCCUUUCAAACCUUCUACUCGUGUUUCUUCCUUUCCUUUGCAAUUAAUUCAUACUGAUGUAUGGUCUUGUUCUACCAAAUCUCUCAGUGGAUGUAAGUAUUAUGUUAUAUUCAUUGAUGAUUUUUCACGAUUCUCAUGGCUUUAUCCUCUCCAAAAUAAAUCUGAUGUAUAUGCUUGCUUUGUUAAAUUCAAAACACUAGUUGAAAACCAAUUUUCUUGCAAAAUUAAGCAAUUACAAUCGGAUGGAGGUGGAGAAUACAUGUCCAACCAAUUUCAAUUGUUUCUUUCCUCUAAUGGAAUCCAACAUCGCCGCACUUGUCCUCAUACACCCCAACAAAAUGGGGUUGCUGAGCGUAAACACCGUCAUGUGGUGGAAAUGGGACUGUCUCUGUUAGCUCAGUCACUUUUGCCCACUAAAUUCUGGGUUGAUGCCUUUUUAACAUCCAUUUUUCUCAUCAAUAGACUACCAACAUCUACUCUUGAUAACCAAACACCAUAUCUUAAAUUAUUUGGCAAACAUCCUGAUUAUACCUCCUUGCGCACCUUUGGUUGUGCCUGUUUUCCAUUGUUACGGACCAUAUGCAACUCACAAAUUAAUGUUCAGAUCCAAACGUUGCAUAUUUCUAGGUUAUAGUUCCCAUCAAAAUGGAUAUAGAUGCUUGGAUCCUGUCACUCAAAAAGUUCUAAUCUCACGACAUGUUGUGUUUAAUGAGAAUACAUUUCCUGCUAAGGAUGGAUUGCAGUCUUCUGAACUUCUUCCAGUGGUCUCCUCUCAAGGUACGCCUUUACCUUCUCCUUCAUUUUCUUUAUCUACUUCUCAUUUACAGCAUUCCUCUCCAAUCAUUUCAGAUUCACCUGAUUCUCCUCUAGAAUCUUUACCUAUCCCCACUUCUCCUCAUAUCUCCACUCUACCUUCUCCCAUACCUAGUCCAGCUCCUACCCUUUCUAUACCUGAAUUUUCCUCUUCUUCCAAUCACUCUCAUCACCCCAUGACAACUCGCUCCCAAACAGGCAACCUCAAACCUCGCACAUUUUCAGAUUUUAAACUCUAUUCCACCCACUAUCCUCUCCAAGCAUUAUCCAGUACUGUGACUCCCCUUGCACCAACCUCCUACCGACAAGCUGCUUUAUUACCUGACUGGUGUGUUGCUAUGAGAGAGGAAUAUGAUGCUUUAUUGGCUAAUGAGACAUGGAAGCUAUGUCCUAGACCUGUUGAUCAUAAUGUGGUGGGAAAUAAGUGGGUGUAUAAAGUUAAACAAACAUCCACAGGUGAGGUUGACAGAUUCAAAGCAAGAUUAGUGGCUUUGGGAUUUGCUCAAGAAGAAGGUAUUGACUUUACUGAGACUUUUAGUCCAGUAAUUAAGCCUUCUACUGUACGGGUGCUUCUUACACUUUCUGUUCAAUUUGAUUGGGAAAUCAGACAGCUUGAUGUAUCUAACGCUUUUCUUCAUGGGAUCUUGCUAGAGGAUGUAUAUAUGGAGCAACCUAAGGGGUUUGUUAAUUCAGAUUUUCCAGAUUAUGUUUGCAAACUGAACAAGUCACUUUAUGGCCUCAAACAAGCACCUCGUGCUUGGUUUAUGCGUCUAUCUCAAACUCUACUUGAAUUCGGUUUCCUAUCCUCACCAGUGGAUGCCUCCUUAUUUGUCUAUCAUAAGGGCCAUAUUCAUCUAUUUAUCCUCAUCUAUGUAGAUGAUAUCCUUGUUACAGGUACAGAUCCUUCUCUCAUUCAGUCUCUAAUCCAAAAGCUACAAACCGAGUUCAAGAUGAAAGACCUUGGUCCUUUGGGCUAUUUUCUCGGCAUCCAAGCAAGUCGUGACUCUUCUGGCCUACAUCUUCGACAAUCCAAGUACAUUGGGGAUCUUCUUCAUCGUACCAAGAUGGCUGGGGCCAAACCUGCUUCCUCUCCUUGUACCACAGGUCUUAAAUUAUCCACUCAUGUUGGUGAGCCACUCACAGCUUCUCAAAUUACAGAAUAUCGACAAACUGUGGGAGCUCUUCAAUAUUGCACCUUGACUAGACCUGAUAUAGCAUUUUCUGUCAACCAACUAUGUCAACAUAUGCACUGUCCUAAUUCUGUUCAUUGGACAGCAGCAAAACGUGUCUUACGUUACUUAAAAGGCACCAUUGAUCUGGGAUUAUGGUACACUAAGGGCGAGCAAACUCUUCAAGCCUUUUGUGAUUCAGAUUGGGCUGGUAAUCCCGAUGAUCGAAGAUCAACUACUGGGUAUGGCGUUUUCUUUGGCUCUUGCUUAAUCUCAUGGACUGCCAAGAAACAAUCUGUGGUAGCUCGUUCUAGCACUGAAGCCGAAUAUAGGGCAUUAGCUAUUACUACUGCUGAGCUGUAUUGGAUUCGUAUGCUCCUCAAAGAACUUCAUAUUUCUUUGCCCACAGCUCCUACUAUUUGGUGUGAUAACAGUGGCGCUCUUGCUCUUGCUUCUAAUCCUGUGUUUCAUGCCCGCACCAAACAUAUUGAAGUUGAUUUUCACUUCAUCCGCGAGAAAGUUGCUAAUCGAGAUAUUUCCCUUCAGUUCAUCGGUUCUUAUGAUCAGCCUGCUGAUAUCUUUACAAAGGGACUAAGUUUAGCUCGGUUUUGUUUGCUUCGUGACAAGCUAAUGGUGGUUUCUCUCCCCAUUAGCUUGAGGGGGGAUGAUAACCACAACAUUCAAACCACCGAGAUUUCCUUGGCUUCUCACUUAUCUUAUCCACCAGAUAAGUGUUUAUCCACUUUAAGAGAUAACUCUUGACUAUUUUUAAAUUUCUGUUAUUGUGUAUUUCAAAUCUCCUUCUGUAAUUGUAUAUAAAUGAGAAUAGCCACCCGGUUUUUGGCAUUGAAGCCAAUACCAUUUUACAGAUUUCUACAGAGUCUUACAAUCUAGUCCGCCUACAGAAAAGGACUCCAAGCCUGGGAGUGCAACCUGUGCAAUUGAUGAUCCCUUUAGUUAAUAAUAUAUACAUAUACAUUCCUAAUAAUUAGACACAUGUAAAUAGAAAAUAAGAGGUUAAAGGAGAAUAUAUCAGUAUAACAAAGCACAAAAUUUAAACUAGAUUCAAGAAGAUCAAGAAAGAGAAAAUAAAAGAAAAAGCCUCCAGAUUUUGAAGAUACAAUGAAACUUAAAAAAAAAAAAAAAAAACCUCCAGAUUUUCCUUUCGAAAUGAGGUAAUAAGAGGAUUUUCUUUUUCUUUUUUCUUUGCCUCUUUUUCAAAUUUGAUUAACUUCUAUGGAAAACGUAUUUUAACUAGUUAUGGAAAACGGAUUUUUUUAAAAAAACUUUUAUAUAAGAUACAAGUAAUACUUUAAAAAAGUUGUGAUAUCUAAAAAAUUUUUGUAAAAAUUAUUUUUAAAGAAAUAAGGUAAAUCUAUACUUUUUGUAUAAGAUGUUCUACCUUUAUAUACAAAUUUUUGAUUUUUUUUUUUUAAGUGUAUCCAAAUGGACACUAAACUAUCUAGUUUUUAAUUGUUACAACUUUGAAUUGGAUUUUAUGGUAAACUAAUUUACAAGUUAAUGCAUGGAUUCAUCUUAGAUUCCAUCUAUAAAUUUUUUUAAUUAUCUAAUAUAAGACAUUAUAUUAAUGGGUUGAAUUAAUAAUGAAAUUAUAAUUUAUUUGGCAACUUUCUUCCUUCAAAUAUAUAAAAUGAAAAUAAAUUUUAAAAAAUAAAAAAAAUGAAAAAAAUAAAAAAUAAAAAAAGAUUUUUUUUAUAGUUUUUCUAAGAUGAUUUUGUAGAGUACUGUUAGUUUAUAGUUUUAACUUUAUUUCAUUUUACUUUUAACUUUAUUUAUUGAGGUAUGUUCUUUUUUGAAACUCUUGUUUAGAUUUUAUAGAGAAUAUAAAUUUUAAGAAAAAAAAUGAAAUUUAAAUAAAAUAAGAAUAAAGAAAGGCAAAAGGUGGAUGAAUUUUUUUAAGGCAAAAGUUUGAUAAUUUGGCACUAUCAUGUAAUGGGUGAAAUUUUUAAAUACUCAACAAAGGCUAGUGAAAUUUAAAUUAAAAGCUUGACAUGUACCUUUUCGACCAAAAUCUUUGGAGUUGGUGUAAAGUUUUGAGUAUGAGAGAGGUUAGUCUAGGGAAUAUUAUUGCACAUUAGUUCAAAUAAAACAUCAACAUCUUUUUUUGUUAAAUUCUAAAUGAACACCACUAUAAAUUAAUGCGAUUUUGUAUGCUCAAUUAAAUAAACUCGUUCUUAAGGCAUCACAUGAAGUGUUUAAGUCUAAUUAAUAUUAAUUAAAAAUGAUUAUAUUAAAAAAAAUCAAAAGUAAUUUUUUUUUAUCAUAAGUCAAGUAGGAUAGUUUUAUAAAUAAUUGGUUCUAGUUUCUAGUAUUAUUGUAGACAAUCGCUAUGUUUGUUGCACCUCCAAAAAAUCUACUACUUGUAAUUAAUUGUAUAUUAUUCUCCAUAUUCACAUCAGUUUAUGUAGUAUGAUUAAUUUAGCAACAAAAUAUAAGUUUACUUGAAAUCGCUUUAAAUUCCUAUGAUAUUAAAGUUUAAGAUUAAAACAAUGUAACAUUAGCCAAAAAGAUUAAGAUCUAUAAUGUAACAUAUAAAAUUUAGAAAAUUCAAGGAAGGGUAAACUCGCACCUGUUCUACCCAGAAGAGUGGCUCAAGUUCACAUUCAGAAUUUAUUUCUUGAAAGAGUAUCUCCACUUUAUCACAAUCGAGCACUUUCAAUUCUUUCAGAAGUGGCCAGCUUGAACUAAACCUUUUUGAGCAAAAUCUUUUGAGUUGGUGUAAACCGGAGAGUGUGAGAGAGGUAAGGUUAGGGAAUAAGAGUAAAGGUGCUGCUUCAUCUUCAUUUUCAUUGGCAACAAUUGCCUCCACUCCACUCUUCGAUAUAUAUAGGUCCUCAAGUUGCACAAGGGCACUCGCCACAGAAACCAGAAAAAGGUUUAGCAAUUUGUUGCAUCCCCUUACUUGCAAUUUCCUUAAUUUGGAAAAUGAAUUUGCUGGAAGUUGGUCAGACCACAAUGCUCUUAUAUUAUCUAGUCCGCGUACAGACAAGGACUCCAAGCCUUGGAGUGCAACCUGUGCAAUUGAUGAUCCCUUUAGUUAAUAAUAAAUACAUAUACAUUCCUAAUAAUUAGACACAUGUAAAUAGAAAAUAAGAGGUUAAAGGAGAAUAUAUCAGUAUAACAAAGCACAAAAUUUAAACUAGAUUAAAGAAGAUCAAGAAAGAGAAAAGAAAAGAAAAAGCCUCCAGAUUUUGAAGAUACAAUGAAACUUAAAAAAAAAAAAAAAAAACCUCCAAAUUUUCCUUUCGAAAUGAGGUAAUAAGAGGAUUUUUUUUUUCUUUUUUCUUUGCCUCUCUUUCAAAUUUGAUUAACUUCUAUGGAAAACGUAUUUUAACUAGUUAUGGAAAACGGAUAUUUUUUUUUUAAACUUUUAUAUAAGAUACAAGUAAUACUUUAAAAAAAAUUGUGAUAUCUAAAAAAUUUUUUGAAAAAUUAUUUUUAAAGAAAUAAGGUAAAUCUAUACUUUUUGUAUAAGAUGUUCUACCUUUAUAUACAAAUUUCUGAUUUUUUUUUUUUUAAAUGUAUCCAAAUGGACACUAAACUAUCUAGUUUUUAAUUGUUACAACUUUGAAUUGGAUUUUAUGGUAAACUAAUUUACAAGUUAACGCAUGGAUUCAUCUUAGAUUCCAUCUAUAAAUUUUUUUAAUUAUCUAAUAUAAGACAUUAUAUUAAUGGGUUGAAUUAAUAAUGUAAUUAUAAUUUAUUUGGCAACUUUCUUCCUUCAAAUAUAUAAAAUGAAAAUAAAUUUUAAAAAAUAAAAAAAAUGAAAAAAAUAAAAAAUAAAAAAAGAUUUUUUUUAUAGUUUUACUAAGAUGAUUUUGUAGAGUACUGUUAGUUUAUAGUUUUAACUUUAUUUCAUUUUACUUUUAACUUUAUUUAUUGAGGUAUGUUCUUUUUAAAAACUCUUGUUUAGAUUUUAUAGAGAAUAUAAAUUUUAAGAAAAAAAAUGAAAUUUAAAUAAAAUAAGAAUAAAGAAAGGCAAAAGGUGGAUGAAUUUUUUUAAGGCAAAAGUUUGAUAACUUGGCACUAUCAUGUAAUGGGUGAAAUUUUUAAAUACUCAACAAAGGCUAGUGAAAUUUAAAUUAAAAGCUUUACAUGUACCUUUUCGACCAAAUUCUUUGGAGUUGGUGUAAAGUUUUGAGUAUGAGAGAGGUUAGUCUAGGGAAUAUUAUUGCACAUUAGUUCAAAUAAAACAUCAACAUCUUUUUUUGUUAAAUUCUAAAUGAACACCACUAUAAAUUAAUGCGAUUUUGUAUGCUCAAUUAAAUAAACUCGUUCUUAAGGCAUCACAUGAAGUGUUUAAGUCUAAUUAAUAUUAAUUAAAAAUGAUUAUAUUAAAAAAAAUCAAAAGUAAUUUUUUUUUAUCAUAAGUCAAGUAGGAUAGUUUUAUAAAUAAUUGGUUCUAGUUUCUAGUAUUAUUGUACACAAUCGCUAUGUUUGUUGCACCUCCAAAAAAUCUACUACUUGUAAUUAAUUGUAUAUUAUUCUCCAUAUUCACAUCAGUUUAUGUAGUAUGAUUAAUUUAGCAACAAAAUAUAAGUUUACUUGAAAUCGCUUUAAAUUCCUAUGAUAUUAAAGUUUAAGAUUAAAACAAUGUAACAUUAGCCAAAAAGAUUAAGAUCUAUAAUGUAACAUAUAAAAUUUAGAAAAUUCCAGGAAGGGUAAACUCGCACCUGUUCUACCCAGAAGAGUGGCUCAAGUUCACAUUCANNNNNNNNNNNNNNNNNNNNNNNNNNNNNNNNNNNNNNNNNNNNNNNNNNNNNNNNNNNNNNNNNNNNNNNNNNNNNNNNNNNNNNNNNNNNNNNNNNNNNNNNNNNNNNNNNNNNNNNNNNNNNNNNNNNNNNNNNNNNNNNNNNNNNNNNNNNNNNNNNNNNNNNNNNNNNNNNNNNNNNNNNNNNNNNNNNNNNNNNNNNNNNNNNNNNNNNNNNNNNNNNNNNNNNNNNNNNNNNNNNNNNNNNNNNNNNNNNNNNNNNNNNNNNNNNNNNNNNNNNNNNNNNNNNNNNNNNNNNNNNNNNNNNNNNNNNNNNNNNNNNNNNNNNNNNNNNNNNNNNNNNNNNNNNNNNNNNNNNNNNNNNNNNNNNNNNNNNNNNNNNNNNNNNNNNNNNNNNNNNNNNNNNNNNNNNNNNNNNNNNNNNNNNNNNNNNNNNNNNNNNNNNNNNNNNNNNNNNNNNNNNNNNNNNNNNNNNNNNNNNNNNNNNNNNNNNNNNNNNNNNNNNNNNNNNNNNNNNNNNNNNNNNNNNNNNNNNNNNNNNNNNNNNNNNNNNNNNNNNNNNNNNNNNNNNNNNNNNNNNNNNNNNNNNNNNNNNNNNNNNNNNNNNNNNNNNNNNNNNNNNNNNNNNNNNNNNNNNNNNNNNNNNNNNNNNNNNNNNNNNNNNNNNNNNNNAGAGAGGUAAGGUUAGGGAAUAAGAGUAAAGGUGCUGCUUCAUCUUCAUUUUCAUUGUGAACAAUUGCCUCCACUCCACUCUGCGAUAUAUUUAGGUCCUCAAGUUGCACAAGAGCACUCGCCACAGAAACCGGAAAAUGGUUUAGCAAUUUCUUGCAUCCCAUUACUUGCAAUUUCCUUAAUUUGGAAAAUGAAUUUGCUGGAAGUUGGUCAGGCCACAAUGCUCUUAUAUUAUCUAGUCCCCGUACAGACAAGGACUCCAAGCCUGGGAGUGCAACCUGUGCAAUUGAUGAUCCCUUUAGUUAAUAAUAUAUACAUAUACAUUCCUAAUAAUUAGACACAUGUAAAUAGAAAAUAAGAGGUUAAAGGAGAAUAUAUCAGUAUAACAAAGCACAAAAUUUAAACUAGAUUGAAGAAGAUCAAGAAAGAGAAAAGAAAACGCCUUUUGAUUUUGAAGAUCCAAUGAAACUUUAAAAAAAAAAAAAAAUCCUCCAAAUUUUGCUUUCCAAAUGAGGUAAUAGGAGGAUAUUUUUAUUUUAUUUUUUCUUUGCCUCUCUUUCAAAUUUGAUUAACGUCCAUGGAAAACGUAUUUUAACUAGCCAUGGAAAAUGGAUUUUUUUUUUAAAACUUUUAUAUAAGAUACAAGAACUCUUAGAGGGUUACAUUAUGUAAGUAAUACUUUAAAAAAAAUGUUUAAAAAUAUUGUGAUAUCCAAAAAUUUUACUACCUUGGAUUUUAAAUUUUUAAAAAAUUAUUUUUAAAGAAAUAAGGUAAAUCUAUACUUUUUGUAUAAGAUAUUCUACCUUUAUAUACAAAUUUCUGAUUUUUUUUUUUAAAGUGUAUCCAAAUGGACACUAAACUAUCUAGUUUCGAAUUUUUACAACUUUGAAUUGGAUUUUAUGGUAAACUAAUUUACAAUAUAACGCAUGGAUUCAUCUUAGAUUCCAUCUAUAAAUUUUUUAAUUAUCUAAUAUAAGACAUUAUAUUAUUGCGUUGAAUUAAUAAUGUAAUUAUAAUUUAUUUGGCAACUUUCUUCCUUCAAAUAUAUAAAAUGAAAAUAAAUUUUAAAAAAUAAAAAAAAUGAAAAAAAUAAAAAAUAAAAAAAGAUUUUUUUUAUAGUUUUUCUAAGAUGAUUUUGUAGAGUACUGUUAGUUUAUAGUUUUAACUUUAUUUCAUUUUACUUUUAACUUUAUUUAUUGAGGUAUGUUCUUUUUAAAAACUCUUGUUUAGAUUUUAUAGAGAAUAUAAAUUUUAAGAAAAAAAAUGAAAUUUAAAUAAAAUAAGAAUAAAGAAAGGCAAAAGGUGGAUGAAUUUUUUUAAGGCAAAAGUUUGAUAACUUGGCACUAUCAUGUAAUGGGUGAAAUUUUUAAAUACUCAACAAAGGCUAGUGAAAUUUAAAUUAAAAGCUUGACAUGUACCUUUUCGACCAAAUUCUUUGGAGUUGGUGUAAAGUUUUGAGUAUGAGAGAGGUUAGUCUAGGGAAUAUUAUUGCACAUUAGUUCAAAUAAAACAUCAACAUUUUUUUUUGUUAAAUUCUAAAUGAACACCACUAUAAAUUAAUGCGAUUUUGUAUGCUCAAUUAAAUAAACUCGUUCUUAAGGCAUCACAUGAAGUGUUUAAGUCUAAUUAAUAUUAAUUAAAAAUGAUUAUAUUAAAAAAAAUCCAAAGUAAUUUUUUUUUAUCAUAAGUCAAGUAGGAUAGUUUUAUAAAUAAUUGGUUCUAGUUUCUAGUAUUAUUGUACACAAUCGCUAUGUUUGUUGCACCUCCAAAAAAUCUACUACUUGUAAUUAAUUGUAUAUUAUUCUCCAUAUUCACAUCAGUUUAUGUAGUAUGAUUAAUUUAGCAACAAAAUAUAAGUUUACUUGAAAUCGCUUUAAAUUCCUAUGAUAUUAAAGUUUAAGAUUAAAACAAUGUAACAUUAGCCAAAAAGAUUAAGAUCUAUAAUGUAACAUAUAAAAUUUAGAAAAUUCAAGGAAGGGUAAACUCGCACCUGUUCUACCCAGAAGAGUGGCUCAAGUUCACAUUCAGAAUUUAUUUGUUGAAAGAGUAUCUCCACUUUAUCACAAUAGAGCACUUCCAAUUCUUUCAGAAGUGGCCAGCUUGAACUAAACCUUCUAGAGCAAAAUCUUUUGAGUUGGUGUAAACCGGAGAGUGUGAGAGAGGUAAGGUUAGGGAAUAAGAGUAAAGGUGCUGCUUCAUCUUCAUUUUCAUUGUGAACAAUUGCCUCCACUCCACUCUGCGAUAUAUUUAGGUCCUCAAGUUGCACAAGAGCACUCGCCACAGAAACCGGAAAAUGGUUUAGCAAUUUCUUGCAUCCCAUUACUUGCAAUUUCCUUAAUUUGGAAAAUGAAUUUGUUGGAAGUUGGUCAGGCCACAAUGCUCUUAUAUUAUCUAGUCCCC